rnacentral:piRNA from 1 species
UCCUUCAGGCACGCUUAAUCGU